GAUGAACGCUGGCGGCGUGCCUAAUACAUGCAAGUCGAACGCUGGAAAUCUAGCUUUCUUGAUUGAAGGAGUGGCGAACGGGUGAGUAAUACAUAAGCAACCUACCCACGAAGUCUGGGAUAAUCUCUGGAAACGGGGACUAAUACCGGAUAGGUAAUCGGAACGCAUCUUUUGAUUAUUAAAGGUUAAUAACACUGGUGGAUGGGGUUAUGGCGCAUUAGUUAGUUGGUGAGGUAACGGCCCACCAAAGCGAUGAUGCGUAGCCGGCCUGAGAGGGUGAACGGCCGCAUUGGGACUGAGACACGGCCCAGACUCCUACGGGAGGCAGCAGUAGAGAAUUUUCGGCAAUGGGGGAAACCCUGACCGGGCAACGCCGCGUGAGUGAUGACGGCCUUCGGAUUAUAAAGCUCUGUUGUAAGGGAAGAACGGUAGAUAGAGAAUAUCUAAAUGACGGUACCUUACCAGAAAGCCACGGCUAACUACGUG
rnacentral:rRNA from 1 species